AUUGAACGCUGGCGGCAUGCCUUACACAUGCAAGUCGAACGGUAACAGGUCUUCGGAUGCUGACGAGUGGCGAACGGGUGAGUAAUACAUCGGAACGUGCCUAGUAGUGGGGGAUAACUACUCGAAAGAGUGGCUAAUACCGCAUGAGAUCUACGGAUGAAAGCAGGGGAUCGCAAGACCUUGUGCUACUAGAGCGGCCGAUGGCAGAUUAGGUAGUUGGUGGGAUAAAAGCUUACCAAGCCGACGAUCUGUAGCUGGUCUGAGAGGACGGGCAGCCACACUGGGACUGAGACACGGCCCAGACUCCUACGGGAGGCAGCAGUGGGGAAUUUUGGACAAUGGGCGCAAGCCUGAUCCAGCAAUGCCGCGUGCAGGAUGAAGGCGUUCGGGUUGUAAACUGCUUUUGUACGGAACGAAAAGCACUGGGUUAAUACCCUGGGGUCAUGACGGUACCGUAAGAAUAAGCACCGGCUAACUACGUGCCAGCCGCCGCUGUAAGAC
rnacentral:rRNA from 1 species